CUCCUCUCUCCGCCGGCCCGCACCCAACAGCUCGGCGACGCUCGCCCCGACGCUGACCCGCGCGUGCCUCUCUCCGAGCACCAAUCUCCGUCCCGCAGAACCCGGCUUACAUCACGGCCCGCGCGCGCAGCGAGCAGUUCCGGCCGUCGCGGCCGCGGAGGCCGUCGCCGGCACCAGCCCCUCGCUCGACUCCGCGUGUGGUCGUCGGCCUUCCUCCGAGUGAGGUCGCUGGCCUGCCCCCGCGCUCAACAAGGCGGCCAGAACCCCGAGCAGGCGUAGCAGUUCCUCGUGCCCAGUUUACUCUCAGAGGUAUGAAUCAAAAGACCAACUCGAUCUUAAGGAUGUGAACAAAAAAGGCCAAUUUGGCAUUGCAAUGCUGACACUAACAGGCCUACUACAUAGUGGAUGAGAUUCUCAUAGCUGGUGCACUUCAAGAAUCUAGCAAGAAGAAUGCCUGACUUGUAGACCAAUUGUCGAUGCGGAGUAUGGGCCGAAUCCAUGGAGGAAGGAAUGACUCUGAUGCAGUACACUUGGCAGAAGUCAUAAUUAAAUGUUUAAGUUUUUUCAUUGUAUGUGCUUCUUUGUCUUGCCCAAGGGCUUCCUAAAUCUUUACAUGCUUUGAGCAGUGACAUGAUGAAAGGAUGUUGCUGCAAUCUCUGCAGGACAUGGUGAGUCAUAAUGCUGCCAUAUAAAAAUAAAUUACCAACCAUCUAAAGGUAAUGAGGUGUCCUCUUUUCAUCUGUAGCUCCACAUGCCGGCCUGGUAGCUAGCAGGAAACUGCAUUACAUUAUCAUGCUAUGAACAUUCAGUUUGCCUUCAAUCUGAGGCUUUUGUAAUUUCUUGCAUCCAUCCAGAAUUGCUUUUAAUUAUGAAGGUUUGACAAAGUAUGAUAUGGACAAGUACAUACUAGACCAACAAAAUUGAAAUAAAAUUUCAAGGAAUAGAGUUGGUGUGGGUCUAAGUGAUCAGGCUAACCAGCUUUGUGUGUUGGUAUGUUGGAUUGUACUAUAUUGUUUUUGGAAUAGAUUACAAUAUUUUUCUAAAUCUGAAUAUCCAACAUUAAUUGUUAUGAUUGCACAUUAAUAUGUUCUAAGGUUGUCUUACAUUUGUUAUUAUGGGGGUUUGAUAAGAAACUGGUCUCACAAGAAAGAUGCAGGGAACACAGGCUUAUGAAUGCGUGGAUGAGGAAUGGUGUUUCCAUCUGCCCUGUGCAUGGGAUCGUUUUAUUUCUAUAUCCACACAGUUUAUGCGAAUAGCAAUUCAGGUUGAGCUUCUUUUACUGGUCCCUUCUGAUAACCUUUGUUCAUGUGUUAA